rnacentral:rRNA from 1 species
GUGCCAGCCGCCGCGGUAAUACGGAGGGAGCUAGCGUUGUUCGGAAUUACUGGGCGUAAAGCGCACGUAGGCGGCUUUUUAAGUCAGGGGUGAAAUCCCGGGGCUCAACCCCGGAACUGCCCUUGAAACUGGGAAGCUAGAAUCUUGGAGAGGCGAGUGGAAUUCCGAGUGUAGAGGUGAAAUUCGUAGAUAUUCGGAAGAACACCAGUGGCGAAGGCGACUCGCUGGACAAGUAUUGACGCUGAGGUGCGAAAGCGUGGGGAGCAAACAGGAUUAGAAACCCGGGUAGUCC